CGUACCGGAAUAAACAAUAGAUGAUGCCUAUCAACUGUUUAAAAGAUGGUUCUGCUAUCACUCUUGGAUGGACCUGCGGUGCAUUAGCUAGUUGGUAGGGUAACGGCCUACCAAGGCGAUGAUGCAUAGCCGAGUUGAGAGACUGAUCGGCCACAUUUGGGACUGAGACACGGCCCAAACUCCUACGGGAGGCAGCAGCC
rnacentral:rRNA from 1 species